GAUGAACGCUGGCGGCGUGCCUAAUACAUGCAAGUCGAGCGAACGGACGAGAAGCUUGCUUCUCUGACGUUAGCGGCGGACGGGUGAGUAACACGUGGAUAACCUACCUAUAAGACUGGGAUAACUUCGGGAAACCGGAGCUAAUACCGGAUGAUAUUUUGAACCGCAUGGUUCAAUAGUGAAAGACGGUCUUGCUGUCACUUAUAGAUGGAUCCGCGCUGCAUUAGCUAGUUGGUAAGGUAACGGCUUACCAAGGCAACGAUGCAUAGCCGACCUGAGAGGGUGAUCGGCCACACUGGAACUGAGACACGGUCCAGACUCCUACGGGAGGCAGCAGUAGGGAAUCUUCCGCAAAGGGCGAAAGCCUGACGGAGCAACGCCGCGUGAGUGAUGAAGGUCUUCGGAUCGUAAAACUCUGUUAUUAGGGAAGAACAUAUGUGUAAGUAACUGUGCACAUCUUGACGGUACCUAAUCAGAAAGCCACGGCUAACUACGUG
rnacentral:rRNA from 1 species